rnacentral:rRNA from 1 species
UACGAAGGUUGCAAGCGUUGUUCGGAAUCACUGGGCUUAAAGAGCAUCUAGGCGGCUCAUCAAGUGUCUUGUGAAAUCCCCCGGCUCAACCGGGGAAUUGCCCGGCAUACGGUUCGAGCUUGAGGCAGGUAGGGGUGCGUGGAACUCUUGGUGGAGCGGUGGAAUGCGUAGAUAUCAAGAGGAACGCCGGAGGCGAAAGAGGCGCACGGGGCCUGUCUUGACGAUGAGAUGCGAAAGCCAGGGGGGCAAACGGG